rnacentral:lncRNA from 1 species
UAAAUGGCGUAUAAGACGGACGAUGAAAUUCGAUUCAUCUUUAUCCUUAAUUUCAGAUUAAUUUAACAGGCAGUGCUGUAGUGUCAAUUAAUGGCAGGAAAACUGUUCCACAGUUCUGUUCCCUGUCUUAGGGGAUUGGUUGGCGCCAAUAGCACUUACAAAUGACAACAGCUAUGGCCAUCCUUAUAUUGUGAAAGUUCUGCAUGGAACUUAAACUACUGAACUGCCUUGGUGAGCUGGAAUCGUGUGGUGCUGGUCGUGUCUCAAACCAAAUGUAUC